AGCGAGGUGGAUGCUGGUAUCCUGACGGGUUUCAUACGCCUGUCCUCGCGGGUUCGAUUCCCGCCCUCGCAA
rnacentral:tRNA from 1 species